rnacentral:rRNA from 1 species
AUGAACGCUGGCGGCGUGCCUAAUACGUGCAAGUCGAGCGAACGGACGAGAAGCUUGCUUCUCUGAUGUUAGCGGCGGACGGGUGAGUAACACGUGGAUAACCUACCUAUAAGACUGGGAUAACUUCGGGAAACCGGAGCUAAUACCGGAUAAUAUUUUGAACCGCAUGGUUCAAAAGUGAAAGACGGUCUUGCUGUCACUUAUAGAUGGAUCCGCGCUGCAUUAGCUAGUUGGUAAGGUAACGGCUUACCAAGGCAACGAUGCAUAGCCGACCUGAGAGGGUGAUCGGCCACACUGGAACUGAGACACGGUCCAGACUCCUACGGGAGGCAGCAGUAGGGAAUCUUCCGCGAUGGGCGAAAGCCUGACGGAGCAACGCCGCGUGAGUGAUGAAGGUCUUCGGAUCGUAAAACUCUGUUAUUAGGGAAGAACAUAUGUGUAAGUAACUGUGCACAUCUUGACGGUACCUAAUCAGAAAGCCACGGCUAACUACGUG